UACGGGGGGUGCGAGCGUUGUCCGGAAUCACUGGGCGUAAAGGGCGCGUAGGUGGUUUGAUAAGGGUGUGGUGAAAGUCCGGGGCUCAACUCCGGAUCUGCCGUGCCGACUGUCAAACUCGAGGGCUGUAGAGGCAGACGGAAUUCCGGGUGUAGCGGUGGAAUGCGUAGAGAUCCGGAAGAAGACCGGUGGCGAAGGCGGUCUGCUGGGCAGUUUCUGACACUGAGGCGCGACAGCGUGGGGAGCAAACAGGG
rnacentral:rRNA from 1 species